ensembl:snRNA U6 U6 spliceosomal RNA
GUGUUCACUUCAGCAGCACAUAUACUAAAAAUUGGAACAAUACAGAGACUAGCAUGGCCCCCGUGCAAGGAUGACACACAAAUUCAUGAAGAGUUCCACAUUUAA